UUAUGCUUUACUGUGCGGUCAAAGAACUGAAUCUAUCAAAAGUCAAAAUUGAAAUCUGUUAUCUGCUCCUGAUCUCGACUAAAAAGAGGUAAAACACCCCGAUUACUCUUUCUAUCUCUCUUUAUAUGUGUGUGUGUGUUUCCAAAAACUAUUUGAUUUUGGAUUUCACGAAUCGAGAAGUGGCUUAUUUUCCCAAUGAUUGUUCUUUACGAUUUGGUUAUCUGAAACGGCCUCCGACCUCCUGUUUGUGACUUCUUCAUCUGUGUAACAACCACCACAUGAAUCAUGAAGGCUAAAAAGAGGUUAUAUUGAGAAAUUAUGUUUUCAAAGGUUUGCAUUCUUGACCAUGACUCAUAAUCUGAGGUAAAACCACUUCCAUUGGUUAAUGUUUUCGAUUUUUCAUGUUUUUUUUUAUUGAAGAAUGAAAAUGAACGAACCCCAGAUUGAUGUUCUUGGUGCCUGGAAAUGAAUGGAACCACAAACUAAUUGGAAAGAUUAACCUAAUUUCCUGUUUUUAUACAUGUAUUUACCUAAAUUUUGCAAUUGUGUUUACAAAAUUUAAAUAAAAAUGGAUUUUUUGGUGAUUUCAGUCACUUGGAAGAAGACAUAAGGACCUGUAACUAAAUAUCACUCAUUAGGUAAAGCUUAAAUCCCUUCUCCCACACCAAGAGCUUGGAAGGUGGGCAAGUGGUAUUUUUUGUGUAAAUAUGGGCUAUUUUCUAAGGAAUUUGCUCAUAGGUGCGAUAAAGGAAAUAAGGGAAAAAUCAAUUAAAAAGGCUAUUGUGCUGUUUGUUAAGGUAUAUUUACCAUUUUACUUUAAAAAAAAGUCGGUUAGAUACUUAAAUCUCAUAUUUCUGAAAGUGAGACAAAAAGAUCUCAUUUUUGUUCUGACUUUCAUAUAAUAGAGUAAAUUACAAAUAUUUUGAAUUAAUGAUUUUGAACAAAUUGGUAAAUAAGUUUAUCUGCGUCUAAAACAAACAAAAAAAGUGACCCCUUAAAAUAGACCUUUGAAGAAACCUAUCCUCUUGGCCACAUGUAAUCAACUAUCAUGUUUCACAUCUUUUGUAAAUACACUAAAUUUAUUUUGGUUCCAACUAGCAUUAUCUGCUCAAGUUUUGUUGUGGGUGUUGCCCUUCUAGAAAGAAAAUCGGUUUUCAAGUACAACUUUGUAAAAUAUAAACAUAAUUUUCAUUUGUUUAUGCCAAAAAUAUAAAAUUGUUGUUUUUAUUUGUAUUGUGAAAGUAUAGUGUUCAUUUGUGUUUCAGUAAUACAGUUUUAAGAAAUAGAAAGACAUUAUCAUUACAACACCAAGUUCAAGUAGUGGCUUCAUUUGUGUUGCAGUAAUGUAGUUUUGAUGUUAUAAAGUCAAUGUUAUAUGAUGUCUCUUCAACCAUUUCUUUGCUCAAAAAUAAUAAAGAGGGACCUCAUUAUGAUUCUCAACUCUAAAAGGUACGUUACAUAAUAAAAUAUAUUGCUUUUGAGUUUUGAGAAUAUCAUAUAAAUUUUCAGAUUUCUUGAAAGAUUAGUGACUACACAUGAUGUAAGUCAUAAAUUUUAUAGGGGUUGUUGGAGAGGGCAGGGGCAGGUGAAUUUUGUCUAAAUCUUUAGGUAUAUAAAUAUGUAUACUUAUGACGUGCUUGUGUUGGUUGAAUAUGUGUGAUACAUAUAUAGGCAGACAUAUGUGAAUAUUUUCCAUAUUAGCAGCAAUGGUCCCUGUGUUUAUGUAUAUUUGUUGUGUUUUAGCUAAAAAUGAUUUUGUGUCUUGCGUGUAAUGUAUGUUUGCUUAGAAGUUAAAAAAAAAAAAAUAGCUUAACAUAUGUUGAUGUUUCUAGAAUUUAGCAAGAAAUAGUCGUGUACUUUAAUAUAUUUGUUUAUUCACAAUAUCAUAUUUUCAUUAUUUC